rnacentral:rRNA from 1 species
GUCUACGGCUAUGUCACCCUGAAUGCGCCUGAUCCCAAAUGAUCUUGGAAGCUCAGCAGGGUCAGGCUCGGUUAGUACUUGGAUGGGAGACCGCCUGAGAAUACUGGGUGCUGUAAGCU